rnacentral:lncRNA from 1 species
ACACAUGCAUAGGUUCUAUCAAAGGAUGUCUGGUUUGAUUUGCCUUUUCAUACCAAGUGUGCCAUAGUUCAGGAGAGUAUUCGGGAUCAUAGGAAUAUUUCCCUGGACUAACAGUGCUUGAAUACAUUAGCCCUUUGUCUUAGUUAGGAUUUCUAUACCUGCACAAAACAUCAUGACCAAGAAGCAGUUGGGGAGGAAAGGGUUUAUUCAGCUUACACUUCCAUACUGCUGUUCAUCACCAAGGAAGUCAGGACUGGAACUGAAGCAGGUCAGGAAGCAGGAGCUGAUGCAGAGGCCAUGGAGGGAUGUUCUUUACUGGGCUUGCCUCUCCUGGCUUGCUCAGCCUGGUAUCUUAUAGAACCAAGACUACCAGCCCAGAGAUGGUCCCACCCACAAGGGGCCUUUCCCCCUUGAUCAGUAAUUGAGGAAAUGCCUUACAGUUGGAUCUCAUGGAGGCAUUUCCUCAACUGAAGCUCCUGUCUCUGGGAUAACUCCAGCUGUGUCAAGCUGACACACAACUAGCCAGUCCACCCUUUGAAACUUGUCUUCUUGGCAGUUAAAAGGGACAGAAUGAAAACUGGGGCAUGUGGGGUAAGUGAUCCCGGGCCAUGAAGACAGAUCUUAGGAAAGAAACUUAGAGCUGCUCUCUAAAGGGCUUUACACAGACACUUGGUGAUUGGCUGACAUUGUGCAUUUACUUCACUUAGUUAGAGUUAUGCCAUACUAGAAACUUUCAUGACCUUUCUCCCCCCCUCCCUCCCUUCCUUUCUUUCUUUCUUUUACAAGAAUCUAAGUUUAUUGACUAAACUAUACAGAAUAUACAGUUAGUCAUAAGUAUGUCACUAAGUUCUUUUCGUUUUCUCUUUACUCAAAAUAAAAGGACUUGUGCCAGAAACAUGGAUCAGUGGAUAGAAGAUACUGUCAACAAAACUAAUAAUCUGAAUUUAGAGCUCAUGCACUACACAGUAGAAGGAGAGAAGUGAAUCCAUCAACUGUCAAUAACUGCCCAUGUGCUAGGACAGAAACACAAAUGUGCAGACAUUUCCACAAAAAGAAAUACCUGUAAUAAAAAUGAAAAUUGACCUACAGACUAUUAUUCAACUCCUUAUUUAUAUCCCAAUGUUAAAUUUUCUUUCUUUCUUUUUUUUAGUGUUUACCUUAUAACUUUAUUUUUAAUGGAAAUAAUCACUUUCUGUCUUUCUCUCUUUUCUUUCCCCCCCAACCCCCCAACGCACCCCCGUUUUUUGUUGUUGUUGUUGUUGCUGUUGUUUUUCUUUAUACAGGGUUCAAUGUAGCCCAAGCUGCCUUGAACUCACUGUGUACCCAAGGAUGAAUUUGAAUUUAUGAUCUUCCAGCCUCUGUGUCCCUGAGUAUUGGCAUUCUCAGUAUGUACCUCCAUGUUAGGCUCCUUGUCUCCUCCUGUUAUGAUAAGUAAUAGUAGGAGAAUGCCUUUGACUUGUUUACUUAUUUCUUUUCUUUCUUCUUCUUCUUCUUUUUUUUUUUUUAGUUAUUUUUAUUCUUUUUACAAUUCUGUCAUUGCCCACCUCCUGGUCCUUUCUCCCAUUCCUCCUCAUCCCAUUCAUCCUCCUCUGUCUCCAAGAGGAUGCCUCCAACCCCAAAGGCCUCCCUACUCCCUGGUCCUCAGGUCUCCAGGGAGUUAGGCACAUCUUCUCCCACUGAGGCCAGACCAGGGAAUCCUAUGCUGUAUAUGUGUCAGGGGCCUCAGACCACCUCCCAUAUGCUGCCUGGUUGGCAGCUUAAUGUCUGAGAGAUCUCAGAGGUCUGGGUUAGUUGAGAUUGCUUGUCUUCCUAUGGCGCCUAUCCUCCUCAGCUUCUUCCAGCCUCCCCCAGUCUCUUCUCCAUUUUUUGUCCCUACAGUUCUUUUAGACAGGAACAAUUCUGGGUUCAAGCUUUUUACUGUGGAAUGGCAACCCAUCCCUCUACUUGAUACUCCGUCUUUCUACUGGAGGUAGACUCUAGGAGUUCUCUCUCCCCAAUCUUGACCAUUUCAUUUAAGUUGUUAGUGUAGAAUCUCUCCAAUUUCUUUAUGAGGCCACUUAGUGCUCUGAAUUUUCCUUUUAGCACUGCUUUCAUUGUGUCCCAUAAGUUUGGGUAUGCUAUGUCAUCAUUUUUUAUUGAAUUCCAGGAAGUCUUUAAUUUCCUUCUUUAUUUCUUCCCUGACCAAGUUAUCAUUGAGGAGAGAGUUGUUCAGUUUCCAUGGGUGUUUGGGUUUUCUGUUGUUUUUGUUGUGAUUGGACACCAGCCUUAGGCCUUGGUGAUCUGAUAAGAUAAAAGGAUGUCUCUGUCUGGAGCCUGCUUCCUGUGUCCCUGGGUCGCUGCAGGUCUCCUGGGAGGCCUUCAGACUUGUGGUGUCUUCAGAGGGCAGGAAUGCUGAUGAUCUGCCCCGAGCAAAGCACAGGGCAGAAGGGAGGUGAGACUUGAGCAGAGGGGAUGGGUCCUGAGUCUGCUGGGCUACUCGGGCCUUCAAAGUGCUGAGGUUAUUUGGGUGGGUCCCUUACCUGUUGACCUGGCUCAACACAUCUCCUGGGAGACCUUCAGACUGCGGGGUCUUCGGAGGGGCAGACACAUUGAUCUGCCCAUGUGGAAGGCGAACAUCAUGAUGACUUUUUUUCUUAGAAACUUCGUGUGAAGCCAUUAAGUCACACUACCCAGUUUUAAACCCCUCUCUCUCCCUCUCCCUCAAACUAUUGGUUUUCUAGCAGGAAUCUUCUGAAGAAGUUCUUGUCUCUACUGCUAAGGGAAAGAAUAUAUCAAAGGUCACUCUAGCCAUUUCUGUUAUCUUGGAUUACAUUGUGCUGUGAUAGCAAUUAAGUCUUACUUACAUAAUUGGAAUGUUUGCUACUACUGUUAUCACUCUAUGUUCAGAUUCAACACUUGUGACUCUUUUCUGUAUUAUCUUCAUACCAGGACUUGAAGUGACAAGUCUCUGGCCAAGGAAGAAGAUUAAUAAUAUUUCAUGAACUAUUUCUUAAAGCUUCCUUUUUGGAGAUAGCACAUGAUACGCAAUCCAUAUUUUAUCCACCAAACAAGUCAUAUGCAUAAGCCUGAUGUCAUCCCUGAAGGAAGGUAAAGGGUAUUCUUUAAAAUGAUAAUGCCAUUUAGGCAUCUAUUAUCAGUACUCCAAAGUAAGACAGCUCUGUCCUUGAGUAUCAGAGCCAUGUACCCUUACACAUCAACUUUCCUACCUUUGUGCAAAGAGGCAGCAACCCUUUUUUCACUCAGUGAUAUUCUGCCAUCUCAGAGAUAGAUAAUAGCUCAAUAAUGGCUUAAUGGUCAGUAUUCUCAUGAAAACUGUUUUCAGUUCUAGAAAGAUGCUUCACUUCAGAACACUUAACUGCUCUUGUACAAGCCCCAGAUUCAGUUUCUAGCACUCAAAUGAAAGCUCAUAAUUAUAACUCAAGUACCAGAGAAUCCAGUUCUAGCACUAGGCAUGCAUUUGGUAUAUAGACAUACAUGCAGAUAAAACACUUACACAC